rnacentral:rRNA from 1 species
UACGUAGGGUGCGAGCGUUGCCCGGAUUUAUUGGGCGUAAAGGGCGCGUAGGCGGCCACGCACGUCCGUUGUGAAAUCGCCCGGCUCAACUGGGCGGGGUCAGCGGAUACGGUGUGGCUCGAGCAAGCUAGGGGGCAAUGGGAUCCCGGUGUGAGUGGUGGAAUGCGUAGAGUAUCGGGAGGAACACCAGUGGCGAAGGCGGUUGCCUGGAGCUUUGCUGACGCUGAGGCGCGAAAGCGUGGGGAGCGAUCCGGCG